rnacentral:rRNA from 1 species
UACGGAGGAUCCAAGCGUUAUCCGGAAUCAUUGGGUUUAAAGGGUCCGUAGGCGGUUUAAUAAGUCAGUGGUGAAAUCUGGUCGCUCAACGAUCAAACGGCCAUUGAUACUGUUAGACUUGAAUUAUUGUGAAGUAACUAGAAUAUGUAGUGUAGCGGUGAAAUGCUUAGAUAUUACAUGGAAUACCAAUUGCGAAGGCAGGUUACUAACAAUUGAUUGACGCUGAUGGACGAAAGCGUGGGGAGCGAACAGGAUUAGAUACCCUGGUAGUCCACGCCGUAAACGAUGGAUACUAGCUGUUGGGCGCAAGUUCAGUGGCUAAGCGAAAGUGAUAAGUAUCCCACCUGGGGAGUACGUUCGCAAGAAUGAA